rnacentral:rRNA from 1 species
AAGCGAAGCUCUUGAUCGAAGCCCCGGUAAACGGCGGCCGUAACUAUAACGGUCCUAAGGUAGCGAAAUUCCUUGUCGGGUAAGUUCCGACCUGCACGAAUGGCGUAAUGAUGGCCACGCUGUCUCCACCCGAGACUCAGUGAAAUUGAAAUCGCUGUGAAGAUGCAGUGUACCCGCGGCUAGACGGAAAGACCCCGUGAACCUUUACUACAGCUUGGCACUGAACAUUGAACCUACAUGUGUAGGAUAGGUGGGAGGCUUUGAAGACGUGACGCCAGUUGCGUUGGAGCCGUCCUUGAAAUACCACCCUUGUAUGUUUGAUGUUCUAACGUUGGCCCCUAAUCGGGGUUGCGGACAGUGCCUGGUGGGUAGUUUGACUGGGGCGGUCUCCUCCCAAAGAGUAACGGAGGAGCACGAAGGUGGGCUAAUCACGGUUGGACAUCGUGAGGUUAGUGCAAUGGCAUAAGCCCGCUUAACUGCGAGAAUGACGGUUCGAGCAGGUGCGAAAGCAGGUCAUAGUGAUCCGGUGGUUCUGAAUGGAAGGGCCAUCGCUCAACGGAUAAAAGGUACUCCGGGGAUAACAGGCUGAUACCGCCCAAGAGUUCAUAUCGACGGCGGUGUUUGGCACCUCGAUGUCGGCUCAUCACAUCCUGGGGCUGAAGUCGGUCCCAAGGGUAUGGCUGUUCGCCAUUUAAAGUGGUACGCGAGCUGGGUUUAGAACGUCGUGAGACAGUUCGGUCCCUAUCUGCCGUGGGCGUUGGAAGAUUGAAGGGGGCUGCUCCUAGUACGAGAGGACCGGAGUGGACGAACCUCUGGUGUUCGGGUUGUGUCGCCAGACGCAUUGCCCGGUAGCUAAGUUCGGAAUCGAUAACCGCUGAAAGCAUCUAAGCGGGAAGCGAGCCCUGAGAUGAGUCUUCCCUGAUACUUUAAGUAUCCUAAAGGGUUGUUCGAGACUAGAACGUUGAUAGGCAGGGUGUGUAAGCGCUGUGAGGCGUUGAGCUAACCUGUACUAAUUGCCCGUGAGGCUUAACCAU